CAACAGGGGAAACGAGUCCUCGUUGUGUUCCGUUUAGUCAGUGCUUCUUGUUGGCCGUGAAAAGAGCGCCAGCACUCACGCGUCGAAAUCGAAAACCGUUAUUUCCAUGGACUUGUUAAAACAUUCAAGAAAUAGUAGAUUCAACAAGAGCAACAGAAGAACGUGAAAUGUGGUUAGCCAUUCAUUGGCACUGGUACAGGACAUUGCACUUGCCACACGAUCAGAUGGCUUUGUUCUCCGUAUUCUUCAGCAUUCGCAGUAACAGCAUUGUUUGACCGUUCAAUGCUCUCCUCUGUGUCAUCUCCAUCACCUAAAAAGAAAACAAAAAUUCAUCAAUGGGAAGGUGUAACGCCACGGUCGGACGCAAAGACCCUAACGCCAACUCCAGGUGCAUCGCCUUUGCUACCUACGGCUUGAAUUCUAGAUACUGCCAUUGAACCUCCAGCACCUAUGUUGUAUAAAAAACAAAGGAACUGAAAUUAUCACUCCAUUUCCUGUACCAAUCCACAACCUAUUCGAGGAAAUGAGUAACGCGGUAAUUCUAACAAAAGAAAAGCCAAGUUUCCCUGUCCCGAGCAUUUUGCUAACAUAAGGCUCUAUAUCGACGUCUUGAAGAUGUUGGUAAGUAUGAGCAUGAUAAAGUCUUAAUGUAGAGUCUAGUCUAAUGCUGACCCAUACACCUUCACCCAACCAAGCUAAUUGUCUUACUUGUGAUUCUCGACGUGGAUGAGCAUCUACGGUACACUGAAACCGUAUUUUACGUAUAAUAAAUGCAUUGUACAAUAUGUGCUUUUACCACUAACAGCGGUCAUGCACCUGAUUGAAUGUUGUGGACUACCCAAAGUGAUUACAUGGUACUGUGACAGAUCCCAUUGACCAUCUACACCCCUUCUAAACAACGCUACACUUCCAUCAGCAAGGGCGACAAGAACUCGGCCUUGAACAUGUCUACAUAAAAAUAUAAUUUUGUUACAUAGUGAAUUACAUCUUCUACUGAUUACGUUUAUGUAUACAUACACAAUAGCGAGCGCGGCAUCCUUUAAUUUUACAGAAUGCAAACAGACUGACCACUUAGCCACAGCCGAAUGAACAAACACUGCACCGUUUUGAGCCCCAAGCCACAUAGUUGGUUGUAUCGAAGACAUUUUUUCUAUCGGAGUACCUUCUUCAGGUUCAUUUGUUUCUUUCUCUUCAUUUAUAGUUUCCUGAUCAAUUGUUUGUAUAGAUGCUGUCUCUACGUUAACUUUCACAAAGUGUACUUUUCCAAGAUUUAUUGUUUCACUAUCUACACUUUCCAAACUUUGCGGCUCGGUUGUAUUAUUCUGAUUACUAUCAUCAGAUUUUUCAAGGUUUUCAUUAUUUGGUUCUUCAGAAGCACUAUUUGAAUCUUUUUUCUCAGAACAUACUUGAAUUUCUUGCUUAUUUUUCUGAUUAUUCUGUUCAUUGUUUGCGCUAACAUUUAUUUCAUGGUCGUCAUUAUCUGUUAUUCCAUUGGCAGUUCGAACUGGGUCUUCAUUAACAGGUUGAGCAUAAUCACUCUCUUUGGCUCCAGGUACACUUGCAAUACAAAGUAAAUGUCCUUGGCAAACAUUAAAUACUUCCAAAAUAUCGGCUGGAUUGUUAGCGUCUAUCACAGUCACUUUUGCCAUCAUUCUAAUAUUCUGAGUUGAUGUACAAAUCCAAACCAAAGAACUGAGCUGUUGUUCCAAACGUUCUGCCUCUAUCCUCUGGUUUUCAUUUUCCUGCAGUUCCUUAUCCAAAUGUUCAAUAGCAUCCUCAGCUUCGGUCUUUGAAUUAGUACUUACUUCUUGAGCCUCAGCUGCAUAGAACACACUACCUCCGAUCAUGCAACCACCAUCGCGUGUUUUACCUCCACUUAAAUUUACACCAGCGCCACACCAUAUCUAUGUAAUUAAAGAUGAAAAAAAAAUAUAAGUAAUCAUCUACCCAUUAAAUAAAUUAACCUCCUCACAGUGUAGCCUGAGUAAGAAUCAAAUAAACUAUCAAAGCAUGGAACAGUAUUGUUCAAGAGGGAUACUGGUAAAACACUGUGUAUAGAACUCCUUAAUUUAAUAGCAAAAAGUUUAUUAAAAGUUUAUAUUAUUAUUGCGUAAAUUAUGUUGAUCUUGUAUAUAUAUUAUUAUACAUUAUAAUAAUCUUGUAUUGCAAGAAUUGCACAUUUUGAACUUCUUCAUUCAAAAGAAAAAGUUGGUCAAAGUAUCUAAUUCUUGCAAUAUUUAAUGAUGUUAUUAAAAUCAGUUACUCUGUGCAUCUGAUAAGGCAUUACUGAUUCAUUUAUUACGCUGUAAAAGGAUUAAGAUCUUUACUAUACCUUCAUGCCAGGUUCUGACUCUUGUAAGGGUCUACAGUAGACUGGCACUGGAACGGGCUGUCUCACGGGUGCGCUCGGUUUUCCUGGUAAACUCCAACCAUAAGCUUGUAAUCGACCAUCUUCCUUUCUAACGUGUGCGCGGACUUGACGAUAUUGCUCUCUUCGUUCAUUUGCACGUCUGGCUACGAGUUUUUCAGAAGAUCUGAAAAAAUGUGUUAAGUAUAAAUUAAUUGUCUCAUUGUAAAGUACAGUUAUGAUCAAAGUAGAAUGUUUAAUUAUAGAAGUUAGUAUAAUUUACUGAACACUGUUGUUUGUUCAACCAUUUGUUCCUACGAAGAGUUCCUUCAUCACUGGACACAUUCUUCGAUCGAUAUGAAGACCUAAUUUGAUUGUUCUUUCCAACGUAUCUAAUGUUCAGCUUCAUUAUAACUUGCACACUGAUAUUCAUAUCCAAGGUUUAGAAGCGGAAUGUUAGACAUAGAGCAGAACAGAUUUACCUGCUGGCCAAUAAGCACCCCACCGAAAACCAGAAAUACCAGGUAUAUCUUGACAACACCGUGAAGGAGAGGCAAAGAUGAAACCCGAACGAAAAAUUAAAGCAUAGAGCAAGAGUGAAAUAAAAGCCAAGUUUAUAAUAUAAUCAAAACUUCGUUUAUUUAUUGAUCAAUGAUGAUCGUGUAUUAUUCUUCUUUCAAAAAUGUACAAACUUUUAUUUACAAAACUAUUGCUUUUUAAGCAUGACUUUGCAAUAACAGAUAAUUUACUUCAUUAAAUUCUAGUUACUGUAAUCAGAUAUUUGAUGAUUACUGUAAAUAGUGAAUUCAUAUAUACAUACAUAUAUAUGUUUCAUUUCAAUAUACAUACAGUAAUUUACAAUUUCUUGUACGUAUGAAAAAUAUGACUAAAAAUAGACAUACUAUUAAGAUCAAAUUGACGAGAAAAAGAAAGUUUGUGUCUGUGUGCAUUUGAUCACAAUACCUAUUUAUAUAUGUACACACCCAUAGUCAUUUCUUUGAUUAAAAAAAAAUGGCAGGUAAAGUGGGAGUUUUAACGACAAUUUGUUAAACAACCAUCACAUUUGGAAUUCGCUCAGGCAAAAAAUUAUUUAGAAUUGACUCACAUCUCUUAAGAGCGAUCAAGACUAAUUGAGAGUCGCGACAAAAGAUUAUGGAUCCCAACUGACCAAAGGGGACUCUAAUCUGCAAAGAUGAUGUCGAUUCAAAAAUUACUCGAAAAUCUAGAUCUGAUAUUUUCUCCCAUAAACAGUAUAAAAACCUUCUUUAGUCUUUCUCCUCGAAACGGCUUCAAUAAAAUCAUAAAAUAAAUAUAUGCGUCAAAGUUAUGUUAUGAUUUUUAUAAAAACUUUCAUAGUAGUACGAUCACGGUAUUGUUCUGACAUUUAAAAAAAAAAGAGUAUAAAAUCUUUCUCUAUUCACUGUUCUCAAAACAGCUUCAAUAAAAUAAUAUAAAAUAAAUUUAUGUUUUAAACUUGUGUUAUGGCUUUUAUAAAAACUUUCCUAGUAGAACAAUCACAGUAUUGUGCUAACAUUAAAAAAGAGAGCAUAAUUAUAGAGAAAUGAGUCUCUAUAUUAAAAAAUAGAGACAAAUUUGGCAGGCUUUCAGUGUCAAACUGACAAUAAUAUCUAAGUGCGUGUAUAGAAUUUGAUUGAUUUCUCACAUGGUGUCUCCCUGGUCGAAAAUCUCAUGGCGACCUUUCAACGUACGUCUACGCAUAGUGUCCAAAGGUGGUACUGGAACAACUUGAUUUGUUGGUGCGCUGUACCUCAUUUGAGAUAACGUAUGUGGUCCUCGAACCAGGGGUCCCCGGUCCGCAGUUCCCGUGAAGAGACUACUAAAACUACAAACAGAAAAAGAACAAAUGAUUAUUUACCGUAACCAUUUUGUGAGGUACAAAUGACCUAGCUGUACUAUUGUAGAAGUUUUGAUUUAAUACAAAUGAUACUAACAACUUCCACACUGAACCUUUUCCUCCCGAUAUAUUAGAAGGAUCAGUCUUGUUAGCUCUUAUCAUCUCUGUCCAUCUAACUGCUUCUUGAAGCUCCAUUAAACGUUCUUUGUAUUCGUUUCUCUCCAUAAGUACCCUAGCCAUCUCCACUCUAGUAAACCUUUUUCUUUGUGACAAAGGUACAUCUUCUUCAUCGUCACUCUUGGCUGCUUUUGCUGCUGCUUCGGCUUCUUCUUUAACCUUCUUUAAUUCUUCUUCAAGAGUAGCAACUUUUUGUCGUAAACGAUCUCUUGCUUGUUGCAAACCUCGAACUUCCUCGCGUAAUAUUUCUUGCUCACUGAAAAGUAUAUUCGUAUAAACGUAAUUCAUUACGAAUGUUACACAUAUUUAUAUCAUAAAAUAAUUGACCCCUUUCAUCGCUAUUAGACUCUUUCACACAAAGAUAAACUUAUCACGAUACAUAAUGAUGGUAAUCAUGAGAGAAUUCUGUAAUGACAGUUAUAUUUUUUACUGUCGCAGUUAAAUAUCAACAAUCUCCUAAAUGCGCUAUGUAUACAAAUUUGAAGUAGCGACGGAAUUCAAGUCGUUUAUAAAACUGAAUAAUAUUAUAAGACUAUUUACCUUGUAAGUUCAUCCACUUUAAUAAUUAAAUCGUCUUUAACAAUGUUUAGUGCAUUCCUACAAAAUGAAACAGUUUAUAUAUACAUAAUUAACACGACAGCACAUUGAUGAAAUAUUCACAGGAUACUCACUUUGUGGCUAAAAGUUCAUUAUUUUCCAUAAUAAGAUUCUCCACUUCUUUGCCCAUUCCUAAUAAAAUAUAUCAUUUUAGUAAUACUAGACUCGUUAGAAAUAUAGUUGUUGAAUCAAUUUUUUAAAUAUAAUAAAUUUGAAAAUAAAAUUAGUAAUAUCUUACCGAAGAAGUUGUCACUGACUGAAGGGUAUUUUAUAUCAUGCGAUUAUUUAAUCAAAACAUGGCGACACCGAGUAGAGGUAAAAAUGCAAACAAUGAAACACAGAAAUCAGUAAAUUAGUAUAUCAGUUGUAUAUCUUAUAUAUUAUUGUGUUUUUAUAUUACACUAAUUCUAUAUCAUUUCUAUCAUUAACACUUCGGAGUUCUAAUGUAAUUGAUUAGAAAUAUCAACUGUUAAAAUAUAAAAAAUUACAUUAAUUCGAUUUGAAAAUUAAUUUUUUAUGAAUUUUAUAGAUGCUGUUAGUUUAAAAAAAGACAAGCGGAUUCAACAUAAAAACGAGUAUUGUACUAUUUGAUUCGUCAAUCAUCACACAUGUACAAGUAAUUUUUCUGUACACAUAUGAGUUCGAACUCGAAGGUUUAAUAAGGA